rnacentral:rRNA from 1 species
CCUACGGGAGGCUGCAGUGGGGAAUAUUGCACAAUGGGGGAAACCCUGAUGCAGCGACGCCGCGUGAGUGAAGAAGUAUCUCGGUACGUAAAGCUCUAUCAGCAGGGAAGACAAUGACGGUACCUGACUAAGAAGCCCCGGCUAACUACGUGCCAGCAGCCGCGGUAAUACGUAGGGGGCAAGCGUUAUCCGGAUUUACUGGGUGUAAAGGGAGCGUAGACGGCAGCAUAAGUCUGGAGUGAAAUCCCGUGGCUUAACCCCGGAAUUGCUGUGGAAACUGUGUGGCUGGAGUGCAGGAGGGGUAAGCGGAAUGCCUGGUGUAGCGGUGAAAUGCGUAGAUAUUAGGAGGAACACCGGUGGCGAAGGCGGCUUACUGGACUGGAACUGACGUUGAGGCUCGAAAGCGUGGGGAGCAAACAGGAUUAGAUACCCUUGUAGUC